rnacentral:tRNA from 1 species
GGGCGCGUAGCUCAGCGGGAGAGCACUACCUUGACAGGGUAGGCGGCACUCCUCAUAAGUCGCUGAGAUACAUGGACUAUUUCGAUGGCGUCCAGGUUCGGCGAACCUGAUCGCGGUCG